AUGUUGAAUUAUGUGGCCAAGUGGCCAUAUACUUUAGAAUAAACAAACCAAAAGUGGACAACAUAUUUCCUUGUUUUGGGGAGGAAAACAUGGAUCUUGUCUAAAGGUUUUUUGUUCUUUGGUCCAUGUGAGAAGUCACGGGGUGACUUAAUGAAUUUGAGCAGCAAUUGCUGCUUUGGUUGUAAGAGAAGAAAGACAGUCGGAUAACAGAGAGAAGAAGGGAGCAGCAGAAAGAAGAAGAGAGGUACGCAGCUUCCAUAUAAGAAAGAAAUGUGAUUUUCUUUCUUGGUUGGUUCUCACUCCAUCAAAGUAUUAUUAUUGUAAUAGCUUUGAGCUUUGUAUAGAGAAGAAAUUAAUCACUAUAUUUCUUUCUCUAUUUGUUUCCUUGGUGUGUGAGAGCUAUUGGGUGUAUUGGGUUAUUUGGGUUGUGAGAUUGCCAACACUUUGUAAACUCCCAUUUGGUUGAUAGUGGAUUAUUGGGUGAGCUCCUACUGCUCCGAGGACGUACUCCAGUUACACUGACUGUGGAGGAACCUCGUUAAAAAUCUUGGUGUUAUUUAUAUAUUGUUCUUGCAUUUUCAUUUGAUAAAUUUCCUGUGAGUUAGAUUGAGUUGGUUCCAUAAGGUUUGGUGCUAUCCUAGCACAACAAUUGGUAUCAGAGCACUGGUUGCUCUUGGGUACUGUCUAGUUGCCAAAGAUGUCAGAUGGGCAAGAUGAAAAUCCUUUUGGAAGCAGCUCCGGGUUUGCAAGAACGACGGUGCAAAAUGCAAAGUUCGAAGUGGAAAAGUUUGAUGGCACAAACAACUUCGGGAUGUGGCAAUGUGAGGUCAAAGAUGUGUUGGCUCAACAAGAUCUACUUGCCGCUUUGGGAGAGAAGCCGGAAAACUAUGUCGAAGCCGGAAUGGGAAAAAUUAAAUUUGUGGGCUUGCUCUUCAAUUCGGUUGUGCCUUGCAAAAACUCAGAAGUAUUUUGUGAUGCGGGAGACGGUAGCAAGUGUGUUGUGGCAAAAAUUGGAAGACAAGUAUAUGACGAAGAGUGCAGAGAACCGGCUACACUUGAAGAAAAAGCUCUACCGCUUCCAAUACAAAGAAGGUACAAAAAAUGAUUAGACACCUUGAUGCUUUUAAUAAGUUGAUUGCCGACUUGUUAAAUUUAGAUGAGGAUAUUAAGGAUGAAGAUAAGGCCUUAAUAUUGUUGAAUUCCUUGCCGGACUCUUAUGAGCAUUUUGUUACCACUAUUAUGCAUGGUAAAGAAACUGUGAAAUUUGAAGAUGUGUCAAAUGCCUUGAUGAAUUAUGAAAUGAGGCAUAGAGAUAAAAAUCAUGAUAGUACCUCUGAAGCUUUAUUUGUUAGAGGUAGAUCAUCGGAGAGGAAGUCAUCUUCUAGUAGAAAAAAAUCACACUCUCGACCUAGAGGAAACUCUCUAAAGGUAGAAAAACCUUGGAAAGAGAUGAAUGUGCCUUUUGUCAUAAUAAGGGCCAUUGGAAGAAAGAUUGUCCUAAGUUGAAGACCAAAGGAAAAGAAAGUUCUAAAGCCAAUGUUGCUGAGGUUGAAACAGAUGUUUUUGAUUUUGCUUUAACCACUUCCUCAUCAUUUGAUUGUGCUACUAAGUGGGUGUUGGAUACGGGUUGUACUCAUCAUAUGACUCCUCACAAGGAUUGGUUUUCAAGCUUGAAAGAGUUUGAUGGUGGCGUUGUGUUCAUGGGAGAUGACAAUCCUUGCACAACAAAAGGGAUUGGUACAGUUCGGUUGAAGUUGCAUGAUGGCAUGGUUAAAGAGUUGACAGGUGUUCGGUAUGUACCGAAUUUGAAGAAAAAUCUUAUUUCUUUAGGUACUUUGGAAUCCAAGGGUUUCAGGUUUCAUUCAGAUGGGCAGACAUUAAAAGUUACUUAUGGUGCACUUGUUGUGAUGAAAGCUCCUAGAUGUGGCCAUUUGUAUUUAUUGCAGGGAAGCACUGUGACAGGUGAAGCAUCUGUAGUUUCUGAAAAUAUGGGCACAUUUGAUUCAGAUACUACUAGACUGUGGCAUAUGAGAUUAGGCCAUGCCGGUGAGAAAGCUCUACAAGGGCUUGUGAAAAAAGGUCUUCUAAAAGGUGCCACGACUUGUAAGCUUGAUUUCUGCGAGCAUUGUGUCUUGGGGAAGCAAACUAGAGUGAAGUUUGGUACUGCUGUACAUCAGACGAAGGGCAUUCUUGAUUAUGUGCAUUCGGAUGUUUGGGGUCCUACAAAGACUCCCUCUUUGAGUGGUAGACAUUGGUUCGUGACCUUUUGUUGAUGAUUAUUCAAGAAGGUCUUGGGUUUACACUACGAAGCACAAGAGUGAGGUGUUAAGCAUUUUCUUGGGAUGGAAGAAAAUGGUUGAGAACCAGACUGGGAGAAAGAUUAAGAUUUUGAGAUCGGAUAAUGGUGGUGAAUACACAUCCGACCCUUUCUUUAAAAGUUUGCAAAGAAGAAGGAAUUGUGAGACAUUUUAGUGUUCGGGGAACUCCACAACAAAAUGGAGUUGCAGAAAGAUUGAAUCGAACCUUGCUUGAGAAGGUUAGAUGUAUGUUGUCUCAGUCGGGUUUAAGCAAGUCAUUUUGGGCAGAGGCAGUUAAUUAUGCCUGUCACAUCAUCAACCGGUUACCCUCAGCUGCUAUUCAGGGUAAGACACCAAUGGAGGUAUGGACUGGAAAACCUUCUUCUGAUUAUGAUCAUAUUCGUAUUUUUGGUUCACCUGCUUAUUUUCAUGUAACUGAAAAUAAACUUGAUCCUAGACCCAAAAAGACUAUCUUUCUUGGUUUUAGUAGUGGUGUCAAAGGUUACAGGUUGUGGUGCCCAGAGAUGAAAAAAAUUGUAAUCAGCAGAGAUGUGACAUUUGAUGAAGAAAGUAUGUACAAAGUCUCUGAGAAGAAUGUGAAAGAUGUCCAACAGGUGGAGCUUGAGAAAGUUGCCUCUGGUACUUCAAAUCCUAUUUCCGCUGAUGUCGAAGCCACUACAAGUGAAGAAGUUGGAGACCAUGAGGAUGUUGAAGAAGUUGAACUUGAAGAUUCUAUUCAAGUUGAAGAGCAAGUUUCACCUCAAGAGUCUAUUGCCAAGAACAGAGGAAAGAGACAAAUUACCAAGCCAGCUCGGUAUAGUGACUAUGUUUCUUUUGCUCUUCCUAUUAUCACUGAUGAGAGAUUCCAUCUAAUUUUGAGGAAGCUAUUGAGAGUGAAGAAAAGGAGAGGUGGUGCAAUGCCAUGGGUAAUGAGAUGAAUUCUCUCUUGAAAAAACAAGACUUGGGAGUUAGCUAAAUUGCCUAAGGGCAAGAAAGCUAUUGGUUGCAAAUGGGUGUAUGCCAAGAAGGAAGAUGCUGUGAUGAGAAAAGCAAUGUGAGAUUUAAAGCAAGAUUAGUUGCUAAAGGGUAUGCACAAAAAGGAGGGCAUUGACUACAAUGAAAUCUUUUCUCCGGUUGUGAAGCACUCCUCAAUUCGCAUUAUGUUAGCUCUUGUUGCACAGUAUGAUCUUGAGCUUGUGCAACUUGAUGUAAAAACGGCUUUCCUACAUGGUGAUUUGAAUGAAGAGAUUUAUAUGUGUCAACCAGAUGGGUAUAUAUAGUGAAAGGGAAGGAGAAUUUGUUUUGCAAAUUGAAGAAAUCACUUUAUGGCUUGAAGCAAUCUCCAAGGCAAUGGUAUUUGAGGUUUGAUAAAUUUAUGAGAGGCCAAAAUUAUUCUAGAAAGUCAAUAUGAUCAUUGUGUGUACUUCAAGAAGUUGCAAGAUGGGUCUUUCAUUUAUUUAUUGAUAUAUGUUGAUGAUAUGUUGAUUGCCUCAAAGAAUGUCGAAGAGAUUGAGAAAUUGAAGAAGCAAAAUGAAGAAUGAGUUUGAGAUGAAGGAUCUUGGUGAAGCGAAGAAGAUCCUUGGCAUGGAGAUCACUAGAGAUAGAGCAAAGGGUUUCGUCAGUUUGAAUAAAAAACAAUACCUUGAGAAGUUGAUUCGGAAGUUUGGAGUUCAUGAUUCAACCAAACCGGUUAGUACCCCUUUGGCUUCUCAUUUUAAAUUGAGUUCUCUACAAUGUCCCUAAAACUGAUAAAGAGAAACUGCAAAUGAAAAAUAUACCAUAUGCAAAUUUGGUUGGUAGUUUGAUGUAUGCAAUGGUAUGCUCUAGACCGGAUAUUGCUCAUGCAGUUGGCAUGGUGAGUCGAUAUAUGCAUAAUCCAGGUAAAAGAGCAUUGGCAAGCAGCUAAGUGGAUAUUGAGGUAUCUCCAUGGUACUCGAGAUGUUGGUUUAUGCUUUGAGAGGGAUGACUCUGGUAUUGGUCAUUUUGCAGUUGGUUAUGUUGAUUCAGAUUAUGCAGGUGAUCUGGAUGGAAGGAAGUCUACUACAGGCUAUGUGUUUACUAUGGCUAAAGGGCCAGUUUGUUGGAGGUCCAUUUUGCAGUCGUCUGUUGCCUUGUCUACUACAGAGGCUAAAAUAUAUGGCAGUUGCUGAAGCUAUAAAGGAGGCCAUUUGGAUACAUGGGCUUAUUACAGAUUUGGGGGUUGAUCAGAAGCAGGUGGAGGUACAUUGUGAUAGUCAGAGUGCCAUUUAUUUGGCUAAGUAUCAGGUUCAUCAUGCGAGGACCAAGCACAUAGAUGUGCGUUAUCACUUUGUUUCGUGAAAUUGUUGGUGAAGGGGAAAUCAUUCUCCAGAAGAUUCCAACUAAAGACAACCCCGCUGAUAUGUUGACUAAGGUUGUUGGUGUAGCCAAGUUUUGUUCACUGUUUGAACUUGGCUCACAUUUUGCCUAUAUAAAGAAGGCGUUGAGUAGUAGGAGUUUUGGAGCAUUUGGCUCGGCAUGAGUUGUUUCUCUUGCUAGUGUUUGGGAGUGAUGUUGUGUGCUAAUUGUGUUGGUUGGCUUAUCAUGUCGUUUUCGGAACUUGGCCAAGGUGGAGAUUGUUGAAUUAUGUGGCCAAGUGGCCAUAUACUUUAGACUAAACAAACCAAAAGUGGACAACAUAUUUCCUUGUUUUGGGGAGGAAAACAUGGAUCUUGUCUAAAGGUUUUUUGUUCUUUGGUCCCUGUGAGAAGUCACGGGGUGACUUAAUGAAUUUGAGCAGCAAUUGCUGCUUUGGUUGUAAGAGAAGAAAGACAGUCGGAUAACAGAGAGAAGAAGGGAGCAGCAGAAAGAAGAAGAGAGGUACGCAGCUUCCAUAUAAGAAAGAAAUGUGAUUUUCUUUCUUGGUUGGUUCUCACUCCAUCAAAGUAUUAUUAUUGUAAUAGCUUUGAGCUUUGUAUAGAGAAGAAAUUAAUCACUAUAUUUCUUUCUCUAUUUGUUUCCUUGGUGUGUGAGAGCUAUUGGGUGUAUUGGGUUAUUUGGGUUGUGAGAUUGCCAACACUUUGUAAACUCCCAUUUG
rnacentral:lncRNA from 1 species